rnacentral:tRNA from 1 species
GGCUCGUUGGUCUAGGGGUAUGAUUCUCGCUUUGGGUGCGAGAGGUCCUGGGUUCAAAUCCCGGAAGAGCGCA